rnacentral:lncRNA from 1 species
GGUACUAUAUUUCUGAAAACGAAGCAGCUGAACGAAAUCCUGCCGCUGUGCAUGUGCCCUCACCAGAAAACAAGAGCAACAUGAUACAUCGACUGAUUAUGCGAGCCACACACUUAGAGAAGAUUUCGAUCCCGAGUCCUGACGCCAAGUAGGCAAGCGCACAUGCAUACCCAAGAGAGCGCACAUGCAUACCCAAGAGAGCACACAGAAGAAAUUACGACACAAAUUGUAGAGACAUGUUGCAGUAGCUAGCUAGCUUGCACACACGAUGCCUGAUUACUAGGAAAGCGCCAUGCAAUGGCGC